AUUGAACGCUGGCGGCAGGCCUAACACAUGAAAGUCGAACGAGUGGAGGAAGGGUGAGUAAUGUCUGGGAAAGUGCCUGAUGGAGGGGGAUAACGCAUGGAAACGGUAGCUACUACCGCAUACCAUCAGAUGAGCCCAGAUGGGAUUAGCUAGUGGGGUGGGUAACGGCUACCCAAGGCGACGAUCCCUAGCUGGUCUGAGAGGAUGACCAGCCACACUGGAACUGCAACACGGUCCAUACUCCGAAGGUAGGCAGUAGUGGGGAAUAGUCCACAAUUGGCGCAAGCCUGAGGCAGCCAUGCCGCGUGUAUGAAGAAGGCCUUCGGGUUGUAAAGUACUUUCAGCGGGGAUGCGUUACCCGCAGAAGAAGCACCGGCUAACUCCGUGCCAGCCGCCGCGGUAAUAC
rnacentral:rRNA from 1 species